rnacentral:rRNA from 1 species
CAGUAGCCACGGGAAUACGGAGGGUGCAAGCGUUAAUCGGAAUUACUGGGCGUAAAGCGUGCGUAGGCGGUGAGUUAAGUCUGCUGUGAAAUCCCCGGGCUCAACCUGGGAAUGGCAGUGGAUACUGGCUCGCUAGAGUGUGUCAGAGGAUGGUGGAAUUCCCGGUGUAGCGGUGAAAUGCGUAGAGAUCGGGAGGAACAUCAGUGGCGAAGGCGGCCAUCUGGGACAACACUGACGCUGAGGCACGAAAGCGUGGGGAGCAAACAGGAUUAGAUACCCCGGUGUCCCUGUCUCUUAUACA